rnacentral:rRNA from 1 species
UACGUAGGGGGCAAGCGUUGUCCGGAUUCAUUGGGCGUAAAGAGCGUGUAGGCGGCCUUACAGGUCAGCUGUGAAAACUCGAGGCUCAACCUCGAGACGUCGGUUGAAACCGUAUGGCUAGAGUCCGGAAGAGGAGAGUGGAAUUCCCGGUGUAGCGGUGAAAUGCGUAGAUAUCAGGAGGAACACCGGUGGCGAAGGCGGCCCUCUGGACGGAUACUGACGCUGAGGCGCGAAAGCGUGGGGAUCAAACAGG